UUCCCAUACGGGUUGAAGCAUGACCGUAAGGACAUGUGGACAGUAUGGGAGUGAGAAUGUUGGCAUGAGUAGCGAGAUGUGGGUGAGAAUCCCACAGGCCGUAAACCCAAGGUUUCCAGGGGAAGGUUCGUCCGCCCUGGGUUAGUCGGAACCUAAGCUGAGGCCGAAAGGCGUAGGUGAUGGACAACAGGUUGAUAUUCCUGUACUACCGAUAACCAUUUGAGAGAAGGGAUGACACAGUAGGAUAAGCUAAGCACACUGUUGGUUAUGUGUGCCCAAGCAUUGAGGCAGUCAAAGUAGGCAAAUCCGCUUUGAUAAUGCUGGGAUGUGAUGGGGAGCGAAAUUUAGUAGCGAAGUAGCUGAUUUCACACUGUCAAGAAAAGUCUCUA
rnacentral:rRNA from 1 species